GCGUGCCUAAUACAUGCAAGUCGAGCGAACGGACGAGAAGCUUGCUUCUCUGAUGUUAGCGGCGGACGGGUGAGUAACACGUGGAUAACCUACCUAUAAGACUGGGAUAACUUCGGGAAACCGGAGCUAAUACCGGAUAAUAUUUUGAACCGCAUGGUUCAAAAGUGAAAGACGGUCUUGCUGUCACUUAUAGAUGGAUCCGCGCUGCAUUAGCUAGUUGGUAAGGUAACGGCUUACCAAGGCAACGAUGCAUAGCCGACCUGAGAGGGUGAUCGGCCACACUGGAACUGAGACACGGUCCAGACUCCUACGGGAGGCAGCAGUAGGGAAUCUUCCGCAAUGGGCGAAAGCCUGACGGAGCAACGCCGCGUGAGUGAUGAAGGUCUUCGGAUCGUAAAACUCUGUUAUUAGGGAAGAACAUAUGUGUAAGUAACUGUGCACAUCUUGACGGUACCUAAUCAGAAAGCCACGGCUAACUACGUGCCAGCAGCCGCGGUAAUACGUAGGUGGCAAGCGUUAUCCGGAAUUAUUGGGCGUAAAGCGCGCGUAGGCGGUUUUUUAAGUCUGAUGUGAAAGCCCACGGCUCAACCGUGGAGGGUCAUUGGAAACUGGAAAACUUGAGUGCAGAAGAGGAAAGUGGAAUUCCAUGUGUAGCGGUGAAAUGCGCAGAGAUAUGGAGGAACACCAGUGGCGAAGGCGACUUUCUGGUCUGUAACUGACGCUGAUGUGCGAAAGCGUGGGGAUCAAACAGGAUUAGAUACCCUGGUAGUCCACGCCGUAAACGAUGAGUGCUAAGUGUUAGGGGGUUUCCGCCCCUUAGUGCUGCAGCUAACGCAUUAAGCACUCCGCCUGGGGAGUACGACCGCAAGGUUGAAACUCAAAGGAAUUGACGGGGACCCGCACAAGCGGUGGAGCAUGUGGUUUAAUUCGAAGCAACGCGAAGAACCUUACCAAAUCUUGACAUCCUUUGACAACUCUAGAGA
rnacentral:rRNA from 1 species